GCCCCCUGUCCAGCCAAUCAGCAGCAGACCCUCCCUCCCAGACCCUCCCACCUCUUGGACAGCAUCCAUUUUACAUUCAUUGUGAAGCUGCAUUCUUAGUGAGCUGUCCAGGAGGUGGGAGGGUCUGGGAGGGAGGGUCUGCUGCUGAUUGGCUGGAAUGUGUCU
rnacentral:miRNA from 1 species